GAGGAAUAUUGGUCAAUGGGGGCAACCCUGAACCAGCCAAGUCGCGUGAAGGAUGAAGGUCUUAUGGAUUGUAAACUUCUUUUACACGGGAAUAAAGUGGGGGACGUGUCCCACUUUGCAUGUACCGUGUGAAUAAGGAUCGGCUAACUCCGUGCCAGCAGCCGCGGUAAUACGGAGGAUCCGAGCGUUAUCCGGAUUUAUUGGGUUUAAAGGGUGCGCAGGCGGGAUGUUAAGUCGGCGGUGAAAUUUUGCAGCUCAACUGUAAAAGUGCUUUUGCUACUGGCCUCCUUGAGUGUGGAUGAAGUAGGCGGAAUUUGUGGGGUAGCGGUGAAAUGCUUAGAUAUCACGAGGAACUCCGAUUGCGCAGGCAGCUUACUAGGCCACAACUGACGCUCAUGCACGAAGGCGUGGGGAUCAAACA
rnacentral:rRNA from 1 species